rnacentral:rRNA from 1 species
UACGUAGGGCACAAGCGUUGUCCGGAAUUAUUGGGCGUAAAGAGCUCGUGGGCGGCUUGUCGCGUCGGUUGUGAAAGCCCGGGGCUUAACCCCGGGUCUGCAGUCGAUACGGGCAGGCUAGAGUUCGGUAGGGGAGAUCGGAAUUCCUGGUGUAGCGGUGAAAUGCGCAGAUAUCAGGAGGAACACCGGUGACGAAGGCGGAUCUCUGGGCCGAUACUGACGCUGAGGAGCGAAAGCGUGGGGAGCGAACAGG